rnacentral:lncRNA from 1 species
GCCAUGAGCCUUUUUGAAAUAAUAAUAUUGUCGACCCCCAGUUGUAUGUGCCCAAGGAGAUGGCAAACUUGAGAAACAAGAAUAAUCCUUUCAGCUGGUUUAAAGCUGAGCCCUCACUCUUGGAAUUAAGAAACUGACAAAGGAUGCAAGUUCUUGGUUUAAGGAGCCAAUGGUGUGGUUCCCAGGGACCCUCCCAAAUACACUUCCAAUCUGUUUCUGGAGGACCUGACCUGUAACUCCUGACAAUAUGUUCUGAAUGCUGAAGGAUGGAGAUACACUUUGGAGUAAGAUUCAUAUGAACUUUCAUAAAUUCUUGGGGCAAUGGACUCAAGCCCCUCAUUCAAAGAAAACACCAGAAGAGACUUGGUGUUUUGUGAAAUGGCACAUUCCAAAAUCUCUGUCACUGAGAAAAGGAUGUAAGCUCAGGAUCAAAGCAUCGUCUUCAAAGAAGGGCAGAUUCUUUGACAUAGGAAACAUUUUUGCUCAAGCUCCGGGCCUUACUUUUUUAAGCCAGAACAUGACUUGGGGCAGUUCUCAGACCCCGGGUUUCUCCGCCCUCCGGAGAGGUCGGCAAGGAAAUGGACUCAGGUGUGUUGACUAUCUGCUUAUCCUCGGCGGGACCUCUGGGCUUGCUGCCGAACUCUCUCUACUGCUAUGACCUCUUGGCUCACCCCUCCGCAUGCCAGGCCCUUGCUGAAGCUGGGGUUUUGUUUCUUAGUGGCAGCCGCUAGACUCACCUUCUCUAAACUCCUGACACAAGGGAGCCGCCUGGGCUUCAGGUCUCUGGACCGCUGCAGAUUUAAGUCAUUCUUGCUUUGAAUCCCUAGACAAGGGAGGAAUGUGUUUUGCUGUUUUGGAUUUCAAGAAAUGAAACAGAAACAAGAGCUGGUUUCUUGAUAACUUUGUUCUUCUACGCUAUGGUCUGUAGAAUGAUACAGUUUCUAGUUUAAUUGGUCUGUGACCUGCAGACCCCUGUGUAAGACUCUUCCAGCUUUGAACAUACCAAAGAAAAUUUUAAAAGAAGAGGGGAGAAAAAAGGAGAAAAGUCUGCAUAUUGGGUCAUCAGAAGAGCUAACACGAAAUUCUGGAGAGCAUUCUUGGCAGCUGGGAAAGAAGGUACCAUAUGCACAUGUUAAGAGGCUCAAACUUGGCCAGGCACAGUGGCUCACGCCUGUAAUCCCAGCACUUUGGGAGGCCGAGGCGGGUGGAUCACGACGUCGGGAGUUCAAGACCAGCCUGGCCAAGAUGGUGAAACCCCAUCUCUACUAAAAACCCCAAAAAAUUAGCUGGGUGUGGUGGUGGGCACCUGCAAUCCCAGCUACUCGGGAGGCUGAAGCAGAGAAUUGCUUGAACUCAGGAGGCGGACGUUGCAGUGAGCUGAGAUCGUGCCACUGCACUCCAGCCUGGGCGACAGAGCGAGACUACAUCUCAAAAAUAAUAAUAAUAAAAAAAAAGAAAGAGGCUCAAACUUGUCUUUUAAAAAGUGAAGUGCCUUGCCUUGUCCUACACCGUGGCCUCUCCUUGGACACAAACAGGCAGGGAGUGUUUAAGAUAACAGCAUUGCAGAGUGCAAACGGCCCCCAAAGUGGAGCCAGAGGAACCUAUGAGAUCAUUUGGAAAAGCUUGUGAAUUCACUGCCAUUUGCCUACUUGGCUUCGGAUGAAAAGCAAAUCUUAAAGCUGCUCAAAAUGUGUCUGAUUCAUCUGUAACUGAGAAUGAGACCAAUCAGGGAUAAGAAGUGAGUAAAAUCCUUGUGAUCACAGAGCCAAGAGAGCCUAUUUUAAAGCACUUAAUGUAUUUUUU